CCCUUAGAUGUUCUGGGCUGCACACGUGCUACACUGGCAGGUUCAGCGAGUUUCAUGCCCUGAUCUGAAAGGAAUGGGAAAUCUUUUCAAAACCUGCCGUGCUUGGGAUAGAUGUUUGCAAUUAUUCAUCUUCAACGAGGAUUGCCUUGUAAGCGCACGUCAUCAGCGUGCAUUGAAUACGACCCUGUAUUCUGUACACACCGCCCGUCGCUCCUACCGAUUGAAGUUUUCGGUGAGUUGACAGGAGGAUUUUUUUGAAACUGGUUCGCCAGUGGAUUUUAGAUCCAAAUGCCAACGAAUCGAUGGCUUUAGAGGAAGGAGAAGUCGUAACA
rnacentral:rRNA from 1 species